GACGAACGCUGGCGGCGUGCUUAACACAUGCAAGUCGAGCGGUAAGGCCCUUUCGGGGGUACGACGAGCGGCGAACGGGUGAGUAACACGUGGGUGACCUGCCCUCAGCUCUGGGAUAAGCCUGGGAAACCGGGUCUAAUACCGGAUAUGACUCCAUGACGCAUGUUGUGGGGUGGAAAGCCUUGUGCGGCUGAGGAUGGGCCCGCGGCCUAUCAGCUUGUUGGUGGGGUGANGGCCUACCAAGGCGACGACGGGUAGCCGGCCUGAGAGGGCGACCGGCCACACUGGGACUGAGACACGGCCCAGACUCCUACGGGAGGCAGCAGUGGGGAAUCUUGCGCAAUGGGCGAAAGCCUGACGCAGCGACGCCGCGUGAGGGAUGACGGCCUGG
rnacentral:rRNA from 1 species